AAGCGGUGGAGCAUGUGGCUUAAUUCGAGGCUACGCGCAAAACCUUAUCCCGGGCUUGACAUGCAGGGAUUAGCCGGCGGAAACGUCGGUGAGGCCGCAAGGUACAACCUGCACAGGUGCUGCAUGGCUGUCGUCAGCUCGUGCCGUGAGGUGUUGGGUUAAGUCCCGUAACGAGCGAAACCCCUGUGGCCAGUUGCCAGCGCGUCAUGGCGGGCACUCUGGUCAGACCGCCGGCGUCAAGCCGGAGGAAGGCGGGGAUG
rnacentral:rRNA from 1 species